GACGAACGCUGGCGGCGUGCCUAAUACAUGCAAGUAGAACGCUGAAGAGAGGAGCUUGCUCUUCUUGGAUGAGUUGCGAACGGGUGAGUAACGCGUAGGUAACCUGCCUGGUAGCGGGGGAUAACUAUUGGAAACGAUAGCUAAUACCGCAUAAAAUGGAUUAUCGCAUGAUAAUCCAUUGAAAGGUGCAAAUGCAUCACUACCAGAUGGACCUGCGUUGUAUUAGCUAGUUGGUGGGGUAACGGCUCACCAAGGCGACGAUACAUAGCCGACCUGAGAGGGUGAUCGGCCACACUGGGACUGAGACACGGCCCAGACGCCUACGGGAGGCAGCAGUAGGGAAUCUUCGGCAAUGGACGGAAGUCUGACCGAGCAACGCCGCGUGAGUGAAGAAGGUUUUCGGAUCGUAAAGCUCUGUUGUAAGAGAAGAACGAGUGUGAGAGUGGAAAGUUCACACUGUGACGGUAUCUGACCAGAAAGGGACGGCUAACUACGUG
rnacentral:rRNA from 1 species